UUGCGACCACAUCCCGUAGAAAUACCGGUUACAGUACGAUCACGGUGAGUUAAGCAACGUCGAGCCUUGUCAGUACCUAGAUGGGUGACCGACUGGGAAUACCAGGUGCUGUAAG